rnacentral:rRNA from 1 species
GUCGAACGCGAAAGUCCCCUUCGGGGGGUGAGUAGAGUGGCGUCCGGGUGAGUAACACGUAGGUAAUCUACCUUUGGGUGGGGAACAACGCAGGGAAACUUGCGCUAAUACCGCAUAAUGCAGCGGCACCACAUGGUGACAGUUGUUAAAGCGGGGGAUUUUCGAACCUCGUGCCUAAAGAGGAGCCUGCGGCAGAUUAGCUAGUUGGUAAGGUAACGGCUUACCAAGGCGACGAUCUGUAGCCGGCCUGAGAGGGCGGUCGGCCACACUGACACUGACAUACGGGUCAGACUCCUACGGGAGGCAGCAGUCGGGAAUUUUGGGCAAUGGGCGAAAGCCUGACCCAGCAACGCCGCGUGAAGGAUGAAAUCCUUCGGGAUGUAAACUUCGCAAGAAUGGGAAGAAUUAGUAGGGGUUAAUACCCCCUAUGAUGACGGUACCAUUUGUAAGCUCCGGCUAACUCCGUGCCAGCAGCCGCGGUAAUACGGGGGGAGCAAGCGUUGUUCGGAUUUACUGGGCGUAAAGGGCGCGUAGGCGGUCAGCACAAGUCAGUUGUGAAAUCUCCGGGCUUAACUCGGAAAGGUCAACUGAUACUGUGCGACUAGAGUGCAGAAGGGGCAACUGGAAUUCUCGGUGUAGCGGUGAAAUGCGUAGAUAUCGAGAGGAACACCUGCGGCGAAGGCGGGUUGCUGGGCUGACACUGACGCUGAUGCGCGAAAGCCAGGGGAGCGAACGGGAUUAGAUACCCCGGUAGUCCUGGCCUUAAACGAUGGAUGCUUGGUGUCUGGAGUUUUAUAGUCUCCGGGUGCCGUAGCUAACGC